ensembl:lincRNA uncharacterized LOC106148004
GGGGGCUAUGCCAAGACUCAGUUGGGCCAGGCGCUUGUGGAAGAAAGUGAGAACUUUUUCUCUCUGUCAAAAGAGGUCAUCAGGCACACCUGGGAGCGCUCCCACUGGGCAGGCUGAUGAGUAACCUGUCAUUUCCCCGCACGAGGAAAGAAACGAAGGGGCUUCCCUUGAUUUACAAAAGGGAUUCCAGCGUGGCUGCUUUCGGAGAUCAAGGCAGCUUCUGGACAACCAAAAGGCACCUACCUGUCCCACACCCUCCCAUUGUCCCUCUGAAACGUUUUGCUUCUACCCUGGGCAUCCAGACCAACUCCUGGCCUGUCUUCUAUCACACUCUACCCAUUGGAGUCCUUCAGCCUUCAAUGACGGAGGCCUCACCUGCUGUAGAGAAGAAACUUGGAUACUACCCCUUGGGUGCUACACUUGCCCAGAAAAAAAGCUGAGGUCAACAGCUAGAAUAAUUGGGGGUGUUUCACCCAGAGGAGACCAGAUUCCGUAAGGGGAAGCACUUUAUCAGUUAGAGCAGUGAUGGCGAACCUGUUAGAGCUUUCAGUGACACAAACAGCCCUCUGCUGCAUGCAUGCCUCUAACUGAGUUAGAGGUUAGGAGAGACUGGGUGCUCUAACUAACCGUGAGACUUCUGAAAGUACGCCAGUUCUCAGGGACUGUUUCCUUGCCUGAACAAUGGAAUGAUUACUAGAACCUAACUUACUAAGUUGUGAUAAUGACCGCUAACAUUUUUUGGAACAUUUGGUAGAUGCCCAGUACUAUUCUAAGCACUUUAAGUCUACCCAUUCAUUUACUCUGCACCACAUCUGUGACAUAGCUACUAUCUCAUUUAACAGAAAAACAAGACACACUUUACAAGAUUAAGUUACUUUGUCCAAGGUCACACAGAAAGCAAGUACCCUUCUUCUAAUGGAUAUCCCCCAAAUAAGACCUAAUCAGAAAAUAAGCCCUAGCAUGAUUCUUUAGAGUGCUCCUAAUAGAAGUCCUACCCCAAAAUAAGUCCUAGUUAAGACUGUCAGCCUGACAGUCCCAUUUAGAACAUCUAUGGCAGCACACAACGUACCUAUGGAAUUAUAAAAUACAGUGGUACCCAAUCAAAUUCAAUGGUUGGAUUCAAUGUUGAUCUUAUGGGGAAAUCUGAUUCAGUUCUCAUCCAAUUUGCUUUGGAAUCAUGAUCAUGAACCAAAGGACCAUUGUAAUAAUACUAACAUGUAAUUAAAUAUAAAUAAUAUUAUUGUUAUUAGUACUUAAAUGAUAACAUACAUUAUAAUUAAGUUUUUGUAAAUACCCAAGUGGCCACCCUUGGAGAAGAGGUAAAUGCUUAUGUAAACAGAUAAAGUCAAGUCCUAUUGCCAAAUGACCCAUCAGAGUACCAAUACAAUGCAUGAAUAAUGUGUGCACCUGAUAACGAACAGAUGUGCUUGUGUCUAACAUGAAUCUUCAUAAUUCAAUGUGGCCUGUGUUGUAACAGACAUGAUUAAUGCAGUCAUGUGAAAUAAACCUUUUCUGAAUUUUGGUGCCUGCAAUUUUUUGUCGCUUUCGUGUGGAGCAUUAUUCUUAACGUGUCAUCAUUUUUGUUACCAUGCCUGUCUCGUAAGUCUUCAGUUAACACUUGAUUUAAUGGAAAUUUUGGGAGGCCUGGCCUGCAAGAGCUCAUGGCUUGGGUGAAGAAUUCGUGGGAUAAAAUCACUGACCGCUGUGUUGCC